rnacentral:rRNA from 1 species
AUUGAACGCUGGCGGCAGGCCUAACACAUGCAAGUCGAGCGGAUGAAGGGAGCUUGCUCCUGGAUUCAGCGGCGGACGGGUGAGUAAUGCCUAGGAAUCUGCCUGGUCGUGGGGGCUAAUGUCCGGAAACGGGCGCUAAUACCGCAUACGUCCUGAGGGAGAAAGUGGGGGAUCUUCGGACCUCACGCUAUCAGCUGAGCCUAGGUCGGAUUAGCUAGUUGGUGGGGUAAAGGCUUACCAAGGCGACGAUCCGUAACUGGUCUGAGAGGAUGAUCAGUCACACUGGAACUGAGACACGGUCCAGACUCCUACGGGAGGCAGCAGUGGGGAAUAUUGGACAAUGGGCGAAAGCCUGAUCCAGCCACGCCGCGUGUGUGAAGAAGGUCUUCGGAUUGUAAAGCACUUUAAGUUGGGAGGAAGGGAAGUAAGUGAAUACCUUGACGUUUUGACGUUACCAACAGAAUAAGCACCGGCUAACUUCGUG